rnacentral:misc_RNA from 1 species
AACGCACCUUGCGCCCUUUGGCUAUUCCGAAGGGCAUGCCUGUUUGAGUAUCAUGAACACCUCAACUCUCAUGGCUUGCCAUGACGAGCUUGGACUUUGGGGGUCUUGCUGGCCUGUGGUCGGCUCCUCUCAAAUGAAUUAGCUUGCCAGUGUUUGGUGGCAUCACAGGUGUGAUAACUAUCUACGCUUGUGGUUUUCCACCAGGUGGCCUUCAGUGAUGAAGGUUCGCUGGGGCUCAUAAAUGUCUCUCCUCAGUGAGGACAGCUCUUUGAACAUUUGAUCUCAAAUCAGGUAGGACUACCCGCUGAACUUAA